rnacentral:rRNA from 1 species
AGGGCGGGACACGUGUUAUCCUGUCUGAAUAUGGGGGGACCAUCCUCCAAGGCUAAAUACUCCUGACUGACCGAUAGUGAACCAGUACCGUGAGGGAAAGGCGAAAAGAACCCCUGUGAGGGGAGUGAAAUAGAACCUGAAACCGUGUACGUACAAGCAGUAGGAGCACCUUCGUGGUGUGACUGCGUACCUUUUGUAUAAUGGGUCAGCGACUUAUAUUCAGUGGCAAGGUUAACCAUCUAGGGGAGCCGUAGGGAAACCGAGUCUUAACUGGGCGCCAUAGUCUCUGGAUAUAGACCCGAAACCGAGUGAUCUAGCCAUGGGCAGGUUGAAGGUUGAGUAACAUCAACUGGAGGACCGAACCGACUAAUGUUGAAAAAUUAGCGGAUGACUUGUGGCUAGGGGUGAAAGGCCAAUCAAACUCGGAGAUAGCUGGUUCUCCCCGAAAGCUAUUUAGGUAGCGCCUCGGACGAAUACUACUGGGGGUAGAGCACUGUUAAGGCUAGGGGGUCAUCCCGACUUACCAACCCUUUGCAAACUCCGAAUACCAGUAAGUACUAUCCGGGAGACACACGGCGGGUGCUAACGUCCGUCGUGGAGAGGGAAACAACCCAGACCGCCAGCUAAGGUCCCAAAUUACAGCUAAGUGGGAAACGAUGUGGGAAGGCUUAGACAGCUAGGAUGUUGGCUUAGAAGCAGCCAUCAUUUAAAGAAAGCGUAAUAGCUCACUAGUCGAGUCGGCCUGCGC